UCGGUCCCUUUUUCCUGGACACCAUGAAAUGAGCAGCUUUCUUCCUCCAGAUUCUUGCAUCACUACAUUUCUGCCUCGGAGCCGACAAAACACGGACUAAAAAUGUGAGGCAAAAUGAAUCUGUCCCCCUGGUACCAUAUUAGACUUAGAUGUCAUGACUCCUUAGCAAGUUCCAGGCUAUGACAGUCCUGUGUAUCCAGCUGUCUUCUUAUGUUCCUGUUCCUAUGAAUCACAGUCAUGUGAUGAGCAUCUUUAUAAUACAAGACAGAAGGUCAGAGCAUGUCUGUCUGAAUCACAUUGUGUAUCAUAUCACUGGGAGUUGCUGAGCAUUUUCCAAUGGAAGAAUGAAAUAAUCUGGC